AUUGAACGCUGGCGGCAGGCCUAACACAUGCAAGUCGAACGAUUGGCGGACGGGUGAGUAAUGUCUGGGAAACUGCCCGAUGGAGGGGGAUAACUACUGGAAACGGUAGCUAAUACCGCCUACCAUAGGAUGUGACCAGAUGGGAUUAGCUUGUAGGUGAGGUAACGGCUCACCUAGGCGACGAUCACUAGCUGGUCUGAGAGGAUGACCAGCGACACUGGAACUGAGCAACGGGCCAUACACGUAGGGGAGGCAGGAGUGGGGAAGAUGGCACAAUGGGCGCAAGCCUGAUGCAGCCAUGCCGCGUGUAUGAAGACGGCCUUCGGGUUGGAAAGUACUUUCAGCGGGGAGGCGUUACCCGCAGAAGAAGCACCGGCUAACGCAGUGCCAGCAGCCGCGGUAAUUC
rnacentral:rRNA from 1 species